AUUGAACGCUGGCGGCAUGCUUUACACAUGCAAGUCGAGCGGCAGCGCGGGGGCAACCCUGGCGGCGAGCGGCGGACGGGUGAGUAAUGCAUCGGAACGUAUCCCGUAGUGGGGGACAACCCAGCGAAAGUUGGGCUAAUACCGCAUACGCUCUACGGAGGAAAGUGGGGGACUUCGCAAGGAGCCUCACGCUAGGGGCGCGGCCGAUGUCCGAUUAGCUAGUUGGUGGGGAAUGGCUCACCAAGGCGACGAUCGGUAGCUGGUCUGAGAGGAUGAUCAGCCACACUGGGACUGAGACACGGCCCAGACUCCUACGGGAGGCAGCAGUGGGGAAUUUUGGACAAUGGGGGCAACCCUGAUCCAGCAAUGCCGCGUGAGUGAAGAAGG
rnacentral:rRNA from 1 species